GGCUGCAGCAGUGGCUUCAGUAACCCAGAUGUAGUCCAGAUGUUCAGGUUCCUCUAACCAGGCACCUGCAGGGCGAGGAGACACAGGAGGGAGACUAAAGCGGCGGCUGUGAUGAUGGAGCUUCUUUCUGGAGCAGGAGUGUUGCUCCUGGAAAGUGUUUCCAGCAGUCACUCGGCAACCACGGCGGAGGAUGUGACCGGCGGCUGCCCCCGGCG